rnacentral:rRNA from 7 species
ACGGGUGAGUAACACGUGAGCAACCUGCCCCUGACUCUGGGAUAAGCGCUGGAAACGGCGUCUAAUACUGGAUAUGUGACGUGACCGCAUGGUCUGCGUCUGGAAAGAUUUUUCGGUUGGGGAUGGGCUCGCGGCCUAUCAGCUUGUUGGUGAGGUAAUGGCUCACCAAGGCGUCGACGGGUAGCCGGCCUGAGAGGGUGACCGGCCACACUGGGACUGAGACACGGCCCAGACUCCUACGGGAGGCAGCAGUGGGGAAUAUUGCACAAUGGGCGCAAGCCUGAUGCAGCAACGCCGCGUGAGGGAUGACGGCCUUCGGGUUGUAAACCUCUUUUAGCAGGGAAGAAGCGAAAGUGACGGUACCUGCAGAAAAAGCGCCGGCUAACUACGUGCCAGCAGCCGCGGUAAUACGUAGGGCGCAAGCGUUAUCCGGAAUUAUUGGGCGUAAAGAGCUCGUAGGCGGUUUGUCGCGUCUGCUGUGAAAUCCGGAGGCUCAACCUCCGGCCUGCAGUGGGUACGGGCAGACUAGAGUGCGGUAGGGGAGAUUGGAAUUCCUGGUGUAGCGGUGGAAUGCGCAGA